UACGGGGGGAGCAAGCGUUGUUCGGAUUUACUGGGCGUAAAGGGCGGGUAGGCGGCCACCGCAAGUCGACUGUGAAAUCUCCGGGCUUAACCCGGAAAGGUCAGCCGAUACUGCGGGGCUAGAGUGCAGAAGGGGCAACUGGAAUUCUCGGUGUAGCGGUGAAAUUCGUAGAUAUCGGGAGGAACACCGGUGGCGAAGGCGGCGACCUGGGUGGAUACUGACGCUGAGGCGCGAAAGCGUGGGGAGCAAACAGG
rnacentral:rRNA from 1 species